GACGAACGCUGGCGGCGUGCUUAACACAUGCAAGUCGAACGGAAAGGCCUGCUUUCCCUUGUGGAUUGCGGGUACUCGAGUGGCGAACGGGUGAGUAACGCGUGAGUGAUCUGCCCCCAACUUGGGUGUAAGCCUGGGAAACUGGGUCUAAUUCCCGAUAGGACUGCAGGGUGGUGCCUGUGGUGGAAAACGAUUUUCUAGUGGUUGGGGAUGAGCUCGCGGCCUAUCAGCUUGUUGGUGGGGUAAUGGCCUACCAAGGCGGCGACGGGUAGCCGGCCUGAGAGGGUGGACGGCCACAUUGGGACUGAGAUACGGCCCAGACUCCUACGGGAGGCAGCAGUGGGGAAUAUUACACAAUGGGCGGAAGCCUGAUGCAGCGACGCCGCGUGGGGGAUGACGGCCUUCGGGUUGUAAACUCCUUUCGACCGCGAGGAAGCCACCUGGUUGGAAGGGUGGUGACGGUAGUGGUAGAAGAAGCACCGGCUAACUACGUG
rnacentral:rRNA from 1 species